rnacentral:rRNA from 1 species
CACGUAGGGCGCAAGCGUUGUCCGGAAUUAUUGGGCGUAAAGAGCUCGUAGGCGGUCUGUUGCGUCCGCUGUGAAAACCCGGGGCUUAACCCCUGGCUUGCAGUGGAUACGGACAGACUAGAGGUAGGUAGGGGAGAAUGGAGUUCCCGGUGUAGCGGUGAAAUGCGCAGAUAUCGGGAGGAACACCGGUGGCGAAGGCGGUUCUCUGGGCCUUACCUGACGCUGAGGAGCGAAAGCGUGGGGAGCGAACAGG